rnacentral:rRNA from 1 species
AUUGAACGCUGGCGGCAGGCCUAACACGUGCAAGUCGAGCGGCAGCGGGAAAGUAGCUUGCUACUUUUGCCGGCGAGCGGCGGACGGGUGAGUAAUGCCUGGGAAAUUGCCCAGUCGAGGGGGAUAACAGUUGGAAACGACUGCUAAUACCGCAUACGCCCUACGGGGGAAAGCAGGGGGCCUUCGGGCCUUGCGCGAUUGGAUAUGCCCAGGUGGGAUUAGCUAGUUGGUGAGGUAAUGGCUCACCAAGGCGACGAUCCCUAGCUGGUCUGAGAGGAUGAUCAGCCACACUGGAACUGAGACACGGUCCAGACUCCUACGGGAGGCAGCAGUGGGGAAUAUUGCACAAUGGGGGAAACCCUGAUGCAGCCAUGCCGCGUGUGUGAAGAAGGCCUUCGGGUUGUAAAGCACUUUCAGCGAGGAGGAAAGGUUGAUGCCUAAUUCGUAUCAACUGUGACGUUACUCGCAGAAGAAGCACCGGCUAACUCCGUGCCAGCAGCCGCCGUAA